rnacentral:rRNA from 1 species
AAUGAACGUUGGCGGCGUGGAUUAGGCAUGCAAGUCGGUCGUUCCGCAAGGGACGAGGCGCAAGGGUGAGUAAGGCGACGGUAACCAACCCCACAGUUGGGCAUAACCGCGGGAAACUGCGGAUAAUUCCCAGCGACGUCACGAGGUGGCAUCACCUUGUGACCAAAGGUGCGAACCGCUGUGGGACGGGCCGUCGUGGUAUCAGGUAGUUGGCGCGGUAACGGCCCACCAAGCCUGGGACGCCUACCGGGCGUGCGAGCGUGGCCCGGCACACUGGGACUGAGACACUGCCCAGACACCUACGGGUGGCUGCAGUCGAGAAUCUUCGGCAAUGGGCGCCAGCCUGACCGAGCGACGCCGCGCGGAGGACGAAGGCCUUCGGGUUGUAAACUCCUGUCGAGGGGGAACAAGGGUGGUGAAGAGCCACCUUGAGUGAUCCCUGGAGGAAGCACGGGCUAAGUUCGUGCCAGCAGCCGCGGUAAGACGGACCGUGCGAACGUUAUUCGGAAUCACUGGGCUUAAAGCGCGUGUAGGCGGGCCGGCACGUCGAUCGCUGAAAUCCCGCGGCUCAACCGCGGAAGGGGCGUCGAUACGACCGGCCUGGAGGGGGGUAGGGGGAGCCGGAACUUCCGGUGGAGCGGUGAAAUGCGUUGAGAUCGGAAGGAACGCCCGUGGCGAAAGCGAGGUCCUGGACGCCUACUGACGCUGAGACGCGAAAGCCAGGGAGCGAACGGGANUAGAUACCCCGGUAGUCCUGGCCGUAAACGAUGGGCACUGNGUAGGGGCUCGCCGAUNGNUCCCUGCCGCAGGANACCGUGAGUGCCCCGCCUGGGNGUAUGGUCGCAAGGCUGAA